GACGAACGCUGGCGGCGUGCCUAAUACAUGCAAGUAGAACGCUGAAGGAGGAGCUUGCUUCUCUGGAUGAGUUGCGAACGGGUGAGUAACGCGUAGGUAACCUGCCUGGUAGCGGGGGAUAACUAUUGGAAACGAUAGCUAAUACCGCAUAAUAGUAGAUGUUGCAUGACAUUUGCUUAAAAGGUGCAAUUGCAUCACUACCAGAUGGACCUGCGUUGUAUUAGCUAGUUGGUGAGGUAACGGCUCACCAAGGCAACGAUACAUAGCCGACCUGAGAGGGGGAUCGGCCACACUGGGACUGGGACACGGCCCAGACUCCUACGGGAGGCAGCAGUAGGGAAUCUUCGGCAAUGGACGGAAGUCUGACCGAGCAACGCCGCGUGAGUGAAGAAGGUUUUCGGAUCGUAAAGCUCUGUUGUAAGAGAAGAACGAGUGUGAGAGUGGAAAGUUCACACUGUGACGGUAUCUUACCAGAAAGGGACGGCUAACUACGUG
rnacentral:rRNA from 1 species